UACGGCCCGCCCAUAGCUCCUUCGACGGCGCCGCCUAGGAACGCGGAGAAAAUAUGACAAAGGAACGGCCAAAAAUAAAAAGAAAGACCUUUCUUUUGAAAAAACAAACAAAAAAAAGAAAUGCAACACGAGGACUUCCCAGGAGGUCACCCAUCCUAGUACUACUCUCGCCCAAGCAUGCUUAACUUCGGAGUUCUGAUGGGAUCCGGUGCUUUAGUGUUGGUAUGAUCGCAUCCGACAUACCGUGCGUUCUCCUCCCCUUUAUGCCCGCGCCUCCGUGUACGGCCCGCCCAUAGCUCCUUCGACGGCGCCGCCUAGGAACGCGGAGAAAAUAUGACAAAGGAACGGCCAAAAAUAAAAAGAAAGACCUUUCUUUUGAAAAAACAAACAAAAAAAAGGAAUGCAACACGAGGACUUCCCAGGAGGUCACCCAUCCUAGUACUACUCUCGCCCAAGCACGCUUAACUUCGGAGUUCUGAUGGGAUCCGGUGCUUUAGUGCUGGUAUGAUCGCAUCCGACAUACCGUGCGUUCUCCUCCCCUUUAUGCCCGCGCCUCCGUGUACGGCCCGCCCAUAGCUCCUUCGACGGCGCCGCCUAGGAACGCGGAGAAAAUAUGACAAAGGAACGGCCAAAAAUAAAAAGAAAGACCUUUCUUUUGAAAAAACAAACAAAAAAAAGGAAUGCAACACGAGGACUUCCCAGGAGGUCACCCAUCCUAGUACUACUCUCGCCCAAGCACGCUUAACUUCGGAGUUCUGAUGGGAUCCGGUGCUUUAGUGCUGGUAUGAUCGCAUCCGACAUACCGUGCGUUCUCCUCCCCUUUAUGCCCGCGCCUCCGUGUACGGCCCGCCCAUAGCUCCUUCGACGGCGCCGCCUAGGAACGCGGAGAAAAUAUGACAAAGGAACGGCCAAAAAUAAAAAGAAAGACCUUUCUUUUGAAAAAACAAACAAAUAAAAGGAAUGCAACACGAGGACUUCCCAGGAGGUCACCCAUCCUAGUACUACUCUCGCCCAAGCACGCUUAACUUCAGAGUUCUGAUGGGAUCCGGUGCUUUAGUGCUGGUAUGAUCGCAUCCGACAUACCGUGCGUUCUCCUCCCCUUUAUGCCCGCGCCUCCGUGUACGGCCCGCCCAUAGCUCCUUCGACGGCGCCGCCUAGGAACGCGGAGAAAAUAUGACAAAGGAACGGCCAAAAAUAAAAAGAAAGACCUUUCUUUUGAAAAAACAAACAAAUAAAAGGAAUGCAACACGAGGACUUCCCAGGAGGUCACCCAUCCUAGUACUACUCUCGCCCAAGCACGCUUAACUUCGGAGUUCUGAUGAGAUCCGGUGCUUUAGUGCUGGUAUGAUCGCAUUCGACAUACCGUGCGUUCUCCUCCCCUUUAUGCCCGCGCCUCCAUGUACGGCCCGCCCAUAGCUCCUUCGACGGCGCCGCCUAGGAACGCGGAGAAAAUAUGACAAAGGAACGGCCACGAAUAAAAAGAGAGACCUUUCUUUUGAAAAAACAAACGCCUCCGUGUACGGCCCGCCCAUAGCUCCUUCGACGGCGCCGCCUAGGAACGCGGAGAAAAUAUGACAAAGGAACGGCCAAAAAUAAAAAGAAAGACCUUUCUUUUGAAAAAACAAACAAAAAAAAGGAAUGCAACACGAGGACUUCCCAGGAGGUCACCCAUCCUAGUACUACUCUCGCCCAAGCACGCUUAACUUCGGAGUUCUGAUGGGAUCCGGUGCUUUAGUGCUGGUAUGAUCGCAUCCGACAUACCGUGCGUUCUCCUCCCCUUUAUGCCCGCGCCUCCGUGUACGGCCCGCCCAUAGCUCCUUCGACGGCGCCGCCUAGGAACGCGGAGAAAAUAUGACAAAGGAACGGCCAAAAAUAAAAAGAAAGACCUUUCUUUUGAAAAAACAAACAAAUAAAAGGAAUGCAACACGAGGACUUCCCAGGAGGUCACCCAUCCUAGUACUACUCUCGCCCAAGCACGCUUAACUUCGGAGUUCUGAUGGGAUCCGGUGCUUUAGUGCUGGUAUGAUCGCAUCCGACAUACCGUGCGUUCUCCUCCCCUUUAUGCCCGCGCCUCCGUGUACGGCCCGCCCAUAGCUCCUUCGACGGCGCCGCCUAGGAACGCGGAGAAAAUAUGACAAAGGAACGGCCAAAAAUAAAAAGAAAGACCUUUCUUUUGAAAAAACAAACAAAAAAAAGGAAUGCAACACGAGGACUUCCCAGGAGGUCACCCAUCCUAGUACUACUCUCGCCCAAGCACGCUUAACUUCGGAGUUCUGAUGGGAUCCGGUGCUUUAAUGCUGGUAUGAUCGCAUCCGACAUACCGUGCGUUCUCCUCCCCUUUAUGCCCGCGCCUCCGUGUACGGCCCGCCCAUAGCUCCUUCGACGGCGCCGCCUAGGAACGCGGAGAAAAUAUGACAAAGGAACGGCCAAAAAUAAAAAGAAAGACCUUUCUUUUGAAAAAACAAACAAAAAAAAGGAAUGCAACACGAGGACUUCCCAGGAGGUCACCCAUCCUAGUACUACUUUCGCCCAAGCACGCUUAACUUCGGAGUUCCGAUGGGAUCCGGUGCUUUAGUCCUGGUAUGAUCGCAUCCGACAUACCGUGCGUUCUCCUCCCCUUGAGGCCCGCGCCUCCGUGUACGGCCCGCCCAUAGCUCCUUCGACGGCGCCGCCUAGGAACGCGGAGAAAAUAUGACAAAGGAACGGCCCACAACUAGAAAGAAAGACCUUUCUUUUGAAAAGACAGACAAACAAAAGGAAUGCAACACGAGGACUUCCCAGGAGGUCACCCAUCCUAGUACUACUCUCGCCCAAGCACGCUUAACUUCGGAGUUCUGAUGGGAUCCGGUGCUUUAGUGCUGGUAUGAUCGCAUCCGACAUACCGUGCGUUCUCCUCCCCUUUAUGCCCGCGCCUCCGUGUACGGCCCGCCCAUAGCUCCUUCGACGGCGCCGCCUAGGAACGCGGAGAAAAUAUGACAAAGGAACGGCCAAAAAUAAAAAGAAAGACCUUUCUUUUGAAAAAACAAACAAAUAAAAGGAAUGCAACACGAGGACUUCCCAGGAGGUCACCCAUCCUAGUACUACUCUCGCCCAAGCACGCUUAACUUCGGAGUUCUGAUGGGAUCCGGUGCUUUAGUGCUGGUAUGAUCGCAUCCGACAUACCGUGCGUUCUCCUCCCCUUUAUGCCCGCGCCUCCGUGUACGGCCCGCCCAUAGCUCCUUCGACGGCGCCGCCUAGGAACGCGGAGAAAAUAUGACAAAGGAACGGCCAAAAAUAAAAAGAAAGACCUUUCAUUUUGAAAAAACAAACAAAAAAAAGGAAUGCAACACGAGGACUUCCCAGGAGGUCACCCAUCCUAGUACUACUCUCGCCCAAGCACGCUUAACUUCGGAGUUCUGAUGGGAUCCGGUGCUUUAGUGCUGGUAUGAUCGCAUCCGACAUACCGUGCGUUCUCCUCCCCUUUAUGCCCGCGCCUCCGUGUACGGCCCGCCCAUAGCUCCUUCGACGGCAGCCGCCUAGGAACGCGGAGAAUAUAUGACAAAGGAACGGCCAAAAAUAAAAAGAAAGACCUUUCUUAUGAAAAAACAGACAUACCCAAGGAAUGCAACACGAGGACUUCCCAGGUGCCCAAGCACGCUUAACUUCGGAGUUCUGAUGGGAUCCGGUGCUUUAGUGCUGGUAUGAUCGCAUCCGACAUACCGUGCGUUCUCCUCCCCUUUAUGCCCGCGCCUCCGUGUACGGCCCGCCCAUAGCUCCUUCGACGGCGCCGCCUAGGAACGCGGAGAAAAUAUGACAAAGGAACGGCCAAAAAUAAAAAGAAAGACACUUUCUUUUGAAAAAACAAACAAAAAAAAGGAAUGCAACACGAGGACUUCCCAGGAGGUCACCCAUCCUAGUACUACUCUCGCCCAAGCACGCUUAACUUCGGAGUUCUGAUGGGAUCCGGUGCUUUAGUGCUGGUAUGAUCGCAUCCGACAUACCGUGCGUUCUCCUCCCCUUUAUGCCCGCGCCUCCGUGUACGGCCCGCCCAUAGCUCCUUCGACGGCGCCGCCUAGGAACGCGGAGAAAAUAUGACAAAGGAACGGCCAAAAACAAAAAGAAAGACCUUUCUUUUGAAAAAACAAACGCCUCCGUGUACGGCCCGCCCAUAGCUCCUUCGACGGCGCCGCCUAGGAACGCGGAGAAAAUAUGACAAAGGAACGGCCAAAAAUAAAAAGAAAGACCUUUCUUUUGAAAAAACAAACAAAAAAAAGGAAUGCAACACGAGGACUUCCCAGGAGGUCACCCAUCCUAGUACUACUCUCGCCCAAGCACGCUUAACUUCGGAGUUCUGAUGGGAUCCGGUGCUUUAGUGCUGGUAUGAUCGCAUCCGACAUACCGUGCGUUCUCCUCCCCUUUAUGCCCGCGCCUCCGUGUACGGCCCGCCCAUAGCUCCUUCGACGGCGCCGCCUAGGAACGCGGAGAAAAUAUGACAAAGGAACGGCCAAAAAUAAAAAGAAAGACCUUUCUUUUGAAAAAACAAACGCCUCCGUGUACGGCCCGCCCAUAGCUCCUUCGACGGCGCCGCCUAGGAACGCGGAGAAAAUAUGACAAAGGAACGGCCAAAAAUAAAAAGAAAGACCUUUCUUUUGAAAAAACAAACAAAAAAAAGGAAUGCAACACGAGGACUUCCCAGGAGGUCACCCAUCCUAGUACUACUCUCGCCCAAGCACGCUUAACUUCGGAGUUCUGAUGGGAUCCGGUGCUUUAGUGCUGGUAUGAUCGCAUCCGACAUACCGUGCGUUCUCCUCCCCUUUAUGCCCGCGCCUCCGUGUACGGCCCGCCCAUAGCUCCUUCGACGGCGCCGCCUAGGAACGCGGAGAAAAUAUGACAAAGGAACGGCCAAAAAUAAAAAGAAAGACCUUUCUUUUGAAAAAACAAACGCCUCCGUGUACGGCCCGCCCAUAGCUCCUUCGACGGCGCCGCCUAGGAACGCGGAGAAAAUAUGACAAAGGAACGGCCAAAAAUAAAAAGAAAGACCUUUCUUUUGAAAAAACAAACAAAAAAAAGGAAUGCAACACGAGGACUUCCCAGGAGGUCACCCAUCCUAGUACUACUCUCGCCCAAGCACGCUUAACUUCGGAGUUCUGAUGGGAUCCGGUGCUUUAGUGCUGGUAUGAUCGCAUCCGACAUACCGUGCGUUCUCCUCCCCUUUAUGCCCGCGCCUCCGUGUACGGCCCGCCCAUAGCUCCUUCGACGGCGCCGCCUAGGAACGCGGAGAAAAUAUGACAAAGGAACGGCCAAAAAUAAAAAGAAAGACCUUUCUUUUGAAAAAACAAACAAAUAAAAGGAAUGCAACACGAGGAGUUCCCAGGAGGUCACCCAUCCUAGUACUACUCUCGCCCAAGCACGCUUAACUUCGGAGUUCUGAUGGGAUCCGGUGCUUUAGUGCUGGUAUGAUCGCAUCCGACAUACCGUGCGUUCUCCUCCCCUUUAUGCCCGCGCCUCCGUGUACGGCCCGCCCAUAGCUCCUUCGACGGCGCCGCCUAGGAACGCGGAGAAAAUAUGACAAAGGAACGGCCAAAAAUAAAAAGAAAGACCUUUCUUUUGAAAAAACAAACAAAAAAAAGAAAUGCAACACGAGGACUUCCCAGGAGGUCACCCAUCCUAGUACUACUCUCGCCCAAGCACGCUUAACUUCGGAGUUCUGAUGGGAUCCGGUGCUUUAGUGCUGGUAUGAUCGCAUCCGACAUACCG
rnacentral:lncRNA from 1 species